rnacentral:tRNA from 2 species
GCUGAGGUGGCCCAGUGGUAAGGCGCAAGCCUGGAGAGCUUGUGGGGCUUUUGCCCCUCGGGAGUUCGAAUCUCCCCCUCAGCG